rnacentral:rRNA from 1 species
CCCACGGGUGGCUGCAGUGGGGAAUAUUGGACAAUGGGCGAAAGCCUGAUCCAGCCAUGCCGCGUGUGUGAAGAAGGCCUUCGGGUUGUAAAGCACUUUCAGUGGGGAAGAAAGCCUUGGGGCUAAUACCCUCGAGGAAGGACAUCACCCACAGAAGAAGCACCGGCUAACUCCGUGCCAGCAGCCGCGGUAAUACGGAGGGUGCGAGCGUUAAUCGGAAUUACUGGGCGUAAAGCGCGCGUAGGCGGUCUGAUAAGCCGGUUGUGAAAGCCCCGGGCUCAACCUGGGAACGGCAUCCGGAACUGUCAGGCUAGAGUGUAGGAGAGGAAGGUAGAAUUCCCGGUGUAGCGGUGAAAUGCGUAGAGAUCGGGAGGAAUACCAGUGGCGAAGGCGGCCUUCUGGACUGACACUGACGCUGAGGUGCGAAAGCGUGGGUAGCAAACAGGAUUAGAUACCCGUGUAGUC